rnacentral:rRNA from 1 species
ACUGAUUUGAAGAGCUUGCUCAGAUAUGACGAUGGACAUUGCAAAGAGUGGCGAACGGGUGAGUAACACGUGGGAAACCUACCUCUUAGCAGGGGAUAACAUUUGGAAACAGAUGCUAAUACCGUAUAACAAUGACAACCGCAUGGUUGUUAUUUAAAAGAUGGUUCUGCUAUCACUAAGAGAUGGUCCCGCGGUGCAUUAGCUAGUUGGUAAGGUAAUGGCUUACCAAGGCGAUGAUGCAUAGCCGAGUUGAGAGACUGAUCGGCCACAAUGGGACUGAGACACGGCCCAUACUCCUACGGGAGGCAGCAGUAGGGAAUCUUCCACAAUGGGCGAAAGCCUGAUGGAGCAACGCCGCGUGUGUGAUGAAGGGUUUCGGCUCGUAAAACACUGUUGUAAGAGAAGAAUGACAUUGAGAGUAACUGUUCAAUGUGUGACGGUAUCUUACCAGAAAGGAACGGCUAAAUACGUGCCAGCAGCCGCGGUAAUACGUAUGUUCCAAGCGUUAUCCGGAUUUAUUGGGCGUAAAGCGAGCGCAGACGGUUAUUUAAGUCUGAAGUGAAAGCCCUCAGCUCAACUGAGGAAUUGCUUUGGAAACUGGAUGACUUGAGUGCAGUAGAGGAAAGUGGAACUCCAUGUGUAGCGGUGAAAUGCGUAGAUAUAUGGAAGAACACCAGUGGCGAAGGCGGCUUUCUGGACUGUAACUGACGUUGAGGCUCGAAAGUGUGGGUAGCAAACAGGAUUAGAUACCCUGGUAGUCCACACCGUAAACGAUGAGUGCUAGGUGUUUGAGGGUUUCCGCCCUUAAGUGCCGCAGCUAACGCAUUAAGCACUCCGCCUGGGGAGUACGACCGCAAGGUUGAAACUCAAAGGAAUUGACGGGGACCCGCACAAGCGGUGGAGCAUGUGGUUUAAUUCGAAGCAACGCGAAGAACCUUACCAGGUCUUGACAUCCCUUGACAACUCCAGAGAUGGAGCGUUCCCUUCGGGGACAAGGUGACAGGUGGUGCAUGGUUGUCGUCAGCUCGUGUCGUGAGAUGUUGGGUUAAGUCCCGCAACGAGCGCAACCCUUAUUACUAGUUGCCAGCAUUCAGUUGGGCACUCUAGUGAGACUGCCGGUGACAAACCGGAGGAAGGUGGGGAUGACGUCAAAUCAUCAUGCCCCUUAUGACCUGGGCUACACACGUGCUACAAUGGCGUAUACAACGAGUUGCCAACCCGCGAGGGUGAGCUAAUCUCUUAAAGUACGUCUCAGUUCGGAUUGUAGGCUGCAACUCGCCUACAUGAAGUCGGAAUCGCUAGUAAUCGCGGAUCAGCACGCCGCGGUGAAUACGUUCCCGGGUCUUGUACACACCGCCCGUCACACCAUGAGAGUUUGUAACACCCAA